UCCAAGCAUGACCCUACUCAUCUCCAUGAAAAUAUCUUAGCCCUCUAAAUUCCUCCUCCAAGCUUUCUAUCACUACCCUCCCACCCCCACUUCCUAAGAGACUGUCAGGGGCUGAAGUAAGAAUCCAAGUGCUAGUUCUGAGGUAGACGCAGAAGACGACACUCAAGUAAUUAAGCAAGAGUUGCUACUCUAUGAAAUCAGCAUACAAACUGCUCAAGCAGCUAUGACUAGCAGGUUAUCCUAAUUCAAUAAAUCCUCUAGAUUGUACAAUAGUUAAACGAUCAUAACUUUGUUCCGACAGCCCCUGGGGAUAAACCUUAUGUUUCCUUUAACAGUAUUUAUUGUAAGUAUGGGCAGGCCCAGGAUGAAAAUCUAUAGACACAGGACUGUCCUCUGUACAAUUUUGCUGAGAACUGAAAACUCUUUUGAUUAUCUGCAUACCUAGCAGAGGAACAGACCAGAAGCAGGAAAAAAAGUAGAUAAUGCAAAAAGAGCUGUACCUGAUUCUAAGCAGCAUUAUCUUGAUGGACAGCUGAUACGGGGAGCACAGGUAACCUACUUUCCAUGUGAUAUUUUACUCAUAGUCAAAUAAUAAGCUAGGUUUGUAUUUCCAGGUAAAAGCAGCAGCAGCCUAAGUAGAUCAACUGAAUACCAGAAGGUAACUGAACUGAAUAAGAAUUUUUAAAGUAGUUAUGUAAUUCCCAAAUUUUAAAACUUGACACACAGAGGUGUGUAGUGGAAAUGAAAUAGGUCUACUGAUCACAUCCCAUGAUAAUAGGUGCUCAGGUUCUAUUCUGCUACAUUAGAAUUUUUUUUUCUAUGACA
rnacentral:lncRNA from 1 species